CAUUUUUAUGCUACUAAUAUUUGUAUUUUUAAGCCCCCCAAGCUCUUUGUAAAAAAAUAUAAGUAGUUACUUCUUAUAAGCUGUAAAAACUUCUAAAGGUUGACAAUAGACCACUAAA